rnacentral:lncRNA from 1 species
GGAGCGCGCCCGGGCGGCGCCGCACCCUGCGCCAGAUCUACCAGUUCGUGGCCGACACCUUCCCCUUCUACCAGCGGAGCAAGGCCGGCUGGCAGAACUCCAUCCGCCACAACCUCUCCCUCAACGACUGCUUCAAGAAGGUGCCGCGGGACGACGACGACCCGGGCAAAGGCAGCUACUGGACCCUCGACCCCAACUGCGAGAAGAUGUUUGACAACGGCACCUUCAGGAGGAAGAGGAAGAGGCGCCCCGACGCCGGACCGCCCGACGGGGCGGGGGGCAGCGGCGGGGCCCCGGGGGGCUCCUCCUGCCCGGCCGGGCUGCGGGGCCCCCCCGGCGGCUUCAGCUCCAGCGGGGCCCCCUUCGGCCGCGCCGGGGCCCAGGCGUGAGCGUUCCCCCCCCGACGGCGAUUUGCUCCUCGAGGAGCGUUUUUGUAGCGCGGAAAUGU